rnacentral:rRNA from 1 species
UACGUAGGGGGCUAGCGUUGUCCGGAAUCAUUGGGCGUAAAGCGCGCGUAGGCGGCCCGGUAAGUCCGCUGUAAAAGUCAAAGGCUCAACCUUUGAAUGUCAGUGGAUACUGCCGGGCUAGAGUCCGGAAGAGGCGAGUGGAACUCCUGGUGUAGCGGUGGAAUGCGCAGAUAUCAGGAGGAACACCGAUGGCGAAGGCAGGUCUCUGGGCCACUACUGACGCUGAGAAGCGAAAGCAUGGGGAGCGAACAGG